AUUGAACGCUGGCGGCAGGCCUAACACAUGCAAGUCGAACGAGUGGCGGACGGGUGAGUAAUGUCUGGGAAACUGCCUGAUGGAGGGGGAUAACUACUGGAAACGGUAGCUAAUACCGCAUACCAUCAGAUGUGCCCAGUUGGGAUUAGCUAGUUGGUGGGGUAACGGCUCACCAAGGCGACGAGCCCUAGCUGGUCUGAGAGGAUGACCAGCAACACUGGAACUGGGAAACGGUCCAGACUCCUACGGAGGGCAGCAGUGGGAAAUAUUGCAAAAUGGGCGCAAGCCUGAUGCAGCCAUGCCGCGUGUAUAAAGAAGGCCUUCGGGUUGUAAAGUACUUUCAGCGGGGAGGCGUUACCCGCAGAAGAAGCACCGGUGAACUCCGUGCCAGCGGCCGCGGUAAUU
rnacentral:rRNA from 1 species